ACGAACGCUGGCGGCGUGCUUAACACAUGCAAGUCGAACGGAAAGGCCCUGCUUUUGUGGGGUGCUCUAGUGGCGAACGUGUUAGUAACACGUGAGUAACCUGCCCUUUACUUUGGGAUAACUUCAGGUAACUGGGUCUAAUACCGCAUAGUAGCUCCUGCUGCAUGGUGGGGGUUGGAAAGUUUCGGCGGUUGGGGAUGGACUGGCGGCUUAUCAGCUUGUUUGUGGGGUAGUGGCUUAAAAAGGCUUUGACGGGUAGCCGGCCUGAGAGGGUGACCGGGCACAUUAGGAAUGAGGUAGGGCGCAGACUCGUAUGGGAGGCAGCAGGGGGGAAAAUUGCACAAUAAGCAGAAGCGUGAUGAAGAAACGCAGCGUGAGGGAAAACGGACUUAGGGUUGGAAACCGAGUUCGCCUGAGACGAAGCGUGAGUGACGGUAAAGAGUAAAGAAGAACCGGCUAACUACGUG
rnacentral:rRNA from 1 species